GGGGAACAAAGGAGCAGAGAGGGGUGGGGAGCGAGUCGGGCGAGGGAGAGCCCCCGCUGGCUGCCAGAAGAUCCCGGCAGGAGGAAGCCCAAGUGUCACUUGAAUUCCACCCAAGGAGCGGGCGCCUGGGAUCCGAGCGCCUUGUUUAGCAUUAACGGCUGGAGCACGUCCUACAAGUUACGGGAGAGUCGGCCGAGAAGGAGGCGAUCGCUUGCCCCCCGGGUCCCCGCCGCUGGCCCCUCGAGAGCCCAGCAUCGCCCCGCUCUGGGAAGGGAGUUCCAGAAUGAAAGGCAAGAAAGGUGUUGUUGCAGCAUCUGGCAGUGAGACUGAGGAUGAGGACAGCAUGGACAUUCCCCUGGACCUCUCUUCAUCGGCUGGUUCAGUCAAGAGACGGAGAAGGGGCAACCUGCCCAAGGAAUCCGUAUAGAUUCUCCGCGAUUGGCUAUAUGAGCACGGAUACAAUGCCUAUCCCUCAGAGCAGGAAAAAGCCUUGCUGUCCCAGCAAACACACCUGUCUACACUACAGGUCUGUAACUGGUUCAUCAACGCCCGCCGCAGGCUCCUCCCUGACAUGCUGAGAAAGGAUGGCAAAGAUCCAAAAAUCAGUUCACAAUUUUCCGCCGUGGGGCCAAGAUUUCUGAAACCAGCUCUGCUCUCAGUCAUGGGCAUCAAAAACUUCAUGCCAGUGCUAGAGGAGACCCCGUUUCAUUCCUGUACAGCUGGGCCAAACCCAAUCCUAGGGACGCCACUGUCUCCUAAGCCAUCAUCUCCAGGGUCGGUUUUUGCUCGUCAAUCAGUGAUCUGCCAUACCACUGUGACUGCACUGAAAGAUGUCCCGUUCUCCCUCUGCCAAUCGGUUGGUGUGGGACAAAACACAGAUAUACAGCAGAUAGCGGCCAGCAGCUUUACAGACACCUCGCUCAUGUACCCAGAGGACACGUGUAAAUCUGGACCAAGUACUUGUUGA